GACGAACGCUGGCGGCGUGCUUAACACAUGCAAGUCGAACGGAAAGGCCCUGCUUUUGUGGGGUGCUCGAGUGGCGAACGGGUGAGUAACACGUGAGUAACCUGCCCUUGACUUUGGGAUAACUUCAGGAAACUGGGGCUAAUACCGGAUAGGAGCUCCUGCUGCAUGGUGGGUGUUGGAAAGUUUCGGCGGUUGGGGAUGGACUCGCGGCUUAUCAGCUUGUUGGUGGGGUAGUGGCUUACCAAGGCUUUGACGGGUAGCCGGCCUGAGAGGGUGACCGGCCACAUUGGGACUGAGAUACGGCCCAGACUCCUACGGGAGGCAGCAGUGGGGAAUAUUGCACAAUGGGCGGAAGCCUGAUGCAGCAACGCAGCGUGCGGGAUGACGGCCUUCGGGUUGUAAACCGCUUUCGCCUGUGACGAAGCGUGAGUGACGGUAAUGGGUAAAGAAGCACCGGCUAACUACGUG
rnacentral:rRNA from 1 species